rnacentral:rRNA from 1 species
AUGGCGGACGGGUGAGUAACGCGUAAGAACUUGCCCUUUAGACUGGGAUAACAGAGGGAAACUUCUGAUAAUACUGGAUAAGUUAGUAUAUCGCAUGAUAUGCAAAUGAAAGCUACGGCACUAAAGGAGAGCUUUGCGUCCUAUUAGCUAGUUGGUAAGGUAAGAGCUUACCAAGGCGAUGAUAGGUAGCCGGCCUGAGAGGGUGGACGGCCACAAGGGGACUGAGAUACGGCCCUUACUCCUACGGGAGGCAGCAGGC